GGUUGCUGGUUGCUGGUUGCUGGCGUCGGCGUAGCGUCGUCGGCAUCGAAACGCAGCCGAUCACCUCUUGACCCACUGUGGGGCUGUGGUGUGUGUGUGUGGGCGCUUUUGGCGGAAACGAUAUGCGGCGGCUGCGGCUUAUGUAACGCACGACAACAACGACUGCGACAGCGACGCGUUGGCAGCGUCAAAUGCAUACGCACACGCUUCACGCUGCCCCGCUGCCGCCGCACCAGGCAUGCCUUUGGCCCUCUCCGCCGCUGCUUCCUGCACUUUGUUGCUGCUGUUGUUGUUAUUGUCGUUUAGCGGCUGUCGGCUGUCGGCUGUGCUUUUCAUAUCGCUCUCUGGCUCUGUACGUUUUGCAGGGUAUUGUGAUUUUGAUGACGUGUUUGUAGAGCACGUAGUAAAUGUCAAACAUUCGCAUCUCCAAAAGAGGGUAUCCAAAGCUUCGAUGCGCUGAAGGGAGCUUUUUUUUUGCAUGUUUUUCUAUCGCAUUUGUUUUCUCAAGUUCGCGCGGCGGCUCUUGUGCAAUUUGUCAUCAUACCCCAGCAGAGCACCCUUCACCACCCCACCCUUACUUCCUGGCACAGCCUCACCCACACGCCCUGCGUAUGCGUAAUAUUUCAAAAGAAAAGAAAAUUGCAGCAAAUUUGUCAGGCAGGCAAGAGCGUAAACAAAAACAAGCCGCCGCCAAAUGCACUUUUUGCCAUAAAUCAAGGAAGAGCCACAGCAAGAAAAGCGCAGAAGGGCAGCAGAGCAGCAGAGAAGAGAGAGGGCCUGGCAGAAGACAGACAGACAGAACGGCGCCACGCCCUCGACUGAACAAAAUGAAGACAUAAUUUGACAUAAGCGAUGUUAAAGUUCACCAAAAAGAGAAAAAACAUCAAAGUGCAAGCCUCGAAAAUAGCGAAUACAAAAGCAUAACAGCUAUAGCUUUGAGCCGAAGCUGGAAAUACCCUUUCUGGCCAGUAUGAGCGAUCGAUGAACACCUACUUUAAAUAUCCUAUGGGAAGGGUACCCAAAACAGAGAGACAGCGAGACAGCGAGAGAGAGAGAAAGGAAAAAAUAGCUUUAAGCAUUUGACUGUUAAUGAUGAGGGGGAGGAGCAGCAGCAACAUAGGGAGCGGUGGAGUUGUAAGAAAUGAUUGACUCGAACUCAAAACUUGACGACGGCUACGCGACUGUGCGACAGCGGCACCGGCAGCCUCACCGUCAGCAUCGGGACAGCGGUCGCCUCGGUCGCUUCGGUCGCCUCGGUCGGCUCGGUCGGCUCUUUUGGUGAUAAUGUCAAAGGCGGCAGCAAUCGGUCGGUCGGUCGGUCGGUCGGGCACUGCGCGCUCGUCUCUCGCCCCCCGCCGCAUGCUUAAUCAUGCGCGGAGCUGCAGGAAAAAAAAUCGAAAUGCAGCAGCAAAAGCAGCGCCUGUCAAAGCUGCGAUUAAUCUCACUCACAGAUGCUAGAGCGAGAAAUAGAGAGAGAGCAGAGGAGAGGAGAGUCACUCUCUUCAUAGCCGGCAGAAGAAGGAGAACAGUGCGCACAAUACCACAAGGGCGCUUAGAAUGGACAAAAUUCUGUAUAGACGAUUCAUUUCUUUCCGAGAUUCAACUGGGACUCAAUUUCAACGAAAAUUUAUAGAACAACCAGAAAAUAUUUAAGAAAAAUCUAUUUUCAAGAAAUUAUUACUAAAAUCAAGCUUUAUUUUUAUGGAUAUAUCUAUAUUUAAUCACGAAAAUGAUUGAAGGCUGUAAAGCCAGUACCCAAAUGCCAGAAUAUUUAAAGAUUUAAAGGAAAAUGUUUAAAAUAUACAAAAAAAAACUAUACUUG